UGAGGAAUAUUGGGCAAUGCCCGCAAGGGUGACCCAGCAACGCCGCGUGGAGGAUGAAUGUCGUAAGAUUGUAAACUCCUGUUAGAGGGGAAGAAUAGUACCGGUUGGACCGGUAUAUGACUGUACCCUCAGAGAAAGCCCCGGCUAACUACGUGCCAGCAGCCGCGGUAAUACGUAGGGGGCAAGCGUUGUCCGGAUUUACUGGGUGUAAAGGGCGCGCAGGCGGGAUAAAAAGUCAGUGGUGAAAUCCUACAGCUUAACUGUAGAACUGCCUUCGAUACUUUUAUUCUUGAGUUCGGGAGAGAGAGACGGAAUUCCAGGUGCAGUGGUGAAAUACGUAGAUAUCUGGAAGAACACCAGUUGCGAAGGCGGUCUCUUGGUCCGACACUGACGCUGAGGCGCGAAAGCGUGGGGAGCAAACA
rnacentral:rRNA from 1 species